rnacentral:lncRNA from 1 species
AGAGUGAGCAGCCCUCUGCCACCACAGGACACAAGCAUGGCCGUCAUCCACUGCCUGGGUGGCUUUUUAAAAAAAAAACUUUAUUUUGCCUUUUGGUUUGUGUUCCCUUCCCUGUCCCCUCAUCCCAAAUCCAGUUUCUUCUUCAGUCCUUGCUCAGACUUAGUGGUCCUGGCGGCCCUCUCCUCUGGGCUCCCCUCUGUUCCAGGUGAGCGCUGGGGACCGCCCAGGGACAGGCUGUUGGGAGGAUGGAGAGUGAGGUCAUUCCUCACCACUAGCCUCCAAGAGGGUGAAGUGGGGAGCCAUGGGGUCACAUGGAUUUGGAGGCACGCCAGCGGAGGACACAUCUAGAAGUUCCCCUCACUCCCAGCACCUCAGCUGCCUUCCAUGCUGUCCUCUGGGCAAUCUUAUCUGCUGCCACCCCACCUGGGGCACAAAAGCAGUAAUGUCCAGGGACAGGCAGAAGCCUUUGGAAGCUGAGGGGUCUGGGUUUGCUUCUAUGGAGAAUGGAUCUUCAAGGGGGAUCCAGGAGCAGGAGCUGCCUUCCUCUUCCUCCCAAGCUACUCUCUUGAUUCUCAAUAAAGCAGGAGGAAUGUUCGGGGGCAGCCCUCCUGCCCACAGCCCAGUGCCUUACCAGGGCUUCCUUCUAGCCAGCCUUGCCUCCCGCUCGGCCCCUUUGGAUGGCUCCGUUCUCUGCCUGGGGCAGAGGGAAGCCAACCUUGGCUGUUACACAUCUCACACCAAGACAGUAUUGGGCCCCUUGGACUUGACUGGGGUCUGAGGGGACAGAGAUGGGGAUAGGUGUCUGAUACACAAUGGGGUGGAGUCUGCCUCAUCUCCAGGGCACCUGUUCUGGAGCCUUAAAGUGAAUGUUUGAGUUAGAGUUGUGUCAGUGCUGUGGGUGCGGGUGUGCACCUGACCUAGCAGUGAGCAUCCCAGGCUCCUGGGAUGCUGGUGCCCACAGCUGUAUGCAGCACUUGUGUGAGUGGGCUCAGGCUCAGCCCCAGCCUGAGUGUUUGAUCCCACGGGGUGCAGUGAGUGCAGGCGAUGUGCCUGCUGCUCUGGCCAUGUCUCUCCCUCCUCAAUAGCUCUGGGUUUUUGGAAAUGAGUUCUCCUGGUUUUGCUCUCCCACCACACCCCCAGAAUAGGUGGAUUUCAGAAAGGCAGUAGGGUGGGGUGGUUGGGAUGGUUAUGGGGGUCAUCUGUUUUUUACUUUGUAUGUGUGUAUGUUUAUCUGAGAGUUUUCGCCCAUCCCUGCUGGCCUUUCCUUACUCCUCGUAUUUGUACGGUACAAGCAAUAAAGACACUCAUUUC